UAUAACUGUAGGCAAUUAUAGGCUUUAUGUUCUUUAUUUGUCUUCUAGAUCUCUCUGGAACUUUUUGAGGGCUCAGUCAGUGGCCUCAGGGAGACAAGGAGAAACAAUUCACUGGGCGAGAAGUGGACCUCGUACAUUUGCAAAGAGGUCUUAAAGGGUCUGUGUCAUCUUCAGAAAUAUCAGGUCAUUCAUCAUGACCUGAAACCUGAAAACCUCAGGCUGACAUCAUCCGGCGAUGUGAAAAUCUGUGAUUUUGAAUUUGCCACCAUUGGGAAGAGGAGUUCCAGCACCAACGGGACUCCUGCAUAUAUGGCUCCCGAGGCACUUGCCUGUCUCGUAAAUGACAAUCUGGACUAUGACCACAGGGUAUUGUUACCUUUAUUUAUUCUGUAUAUCGGCUACAUGGGGUGAAGCACAUGCAAUGUUUUGCUCACUCAUUUCACAUAAGUCUCUCAUAACAGUGAAAACAAAGUUGUAAAGUACUUGCCCUGCUAUGAGAGGGGGAUCUGAAGUGAGAGAGAGAAAUUCUAAGUGCAGGGAACAAGAAUGGAACAAACCAACCUCAUUUAACUACUUCUUCUUUUUGGGUUUUUCUAACUCUGUGUAACAUCAGACUUCUCUCUGGGGCUCUGUUUAGUGCCAUUAUUUAGGAAAAUGACAUGUUUUCUAUCAGUACAGAGUGGCAUAAUUCUAAUGGGUGUGUUAUUCACAGUUUCACAUAGAGCCACUUUCAGGGGGUGGAUUGAGAGCAGAACUAUCAGAAUAAUCUAUUACUGGAAUGCUUUUAAUGUUCCCUGUAUAAACUCUUGUCUAAUAUUUGUUUUUUUCCCUAUAUUUUGAUAUGUAGGCCGACAUCUGGUCAUUGGGAGUCAGCGCCAUUGAAAUGG